AAUCAAGAGUUGGCUGCUCAACCGACUGAGUCACGCAGGUGCCCCUGUCUCAGAUGAUGAGAUACUUCGCUGCUGAGAUGAAGUGAAAUGAAUCGUACAGACACUGUGACCUGGCGUUUGGCUACCAUUGACCUUCUGAUGGUUCCUAAGAAGGAGAGUCAUCUGCUUCCGGACUGUGGUUGACUACAGUUUUCAGUACUGGAAUGUAUUGAAUUACGAGGCGGCCAUGUCUUCAGCUCCCCAGGCGGAAGGAACCUGCAACACCAUGACACGUAGAUCACCAUGAUUCCCCAGUGUUUUCCCAAGGCAACCAGCUGUUUCCUCAGGGUGGGGUCUAAGCCAACAACCCAGAAGACUAGAGGGAAAACUAUUUUUGCCCACCUACAGGCACUUACUGUCUUGCCACAAGGCUCUGUUACCUUGCCUAUCCUCCGUUACCACGUAGUCCAAAGAGAUCUGGGCAGUUCCACAGAGUAUCACAUUGAUUCAUUGCAUUGGUGACAUUACACUGAUUGCGAAGGAUGAGGAAGAAAGUGGCUAGUGAGCUGGAGGCCAAGCUCCUGUGCUCUGGUUCCUGUCAUUUGCAACUGAAAUUCUGGAUUAAUCAAAAAGAAUCUAGCAAACGGGUGCCUGGCAGGCUCAGUCGGUAGAACAUGUGGCUCUUGAUCUCGGGGUUGUAAGUUCAAGCCCCUCGUUGGAUGUAGAGAUUACUUAAAAAUAAAAUCUUAAAAAAAAUGACUACUUAAAAAAAUCUAUCAAAAACAUACAAGUCUUUUAUUAAUACAGCUACAACACUAUGUUAUGUUCCGGAAGAAGACCUGAAUAAAUGGAGGGAUAUAGCAAGUGGGCAUCCAAGAAGACACUUUUCUAUUUGGGAGGGAAACUCUCUUUUGUGUACCAUUGAUGGAACCACUGUGAAAAAUAAAGGAGGGAAAUGCUACUUCCCAUGAUUAUCUAGGGAGGGGAUGAAUGAGAAGAUGACCAGGUUCACCCAAUGAAUGCCACCCUCCUUCAUCUCGAUGGAGUGACACCAAGAUUCAGAAAAGUUUACAAACUCUUCACAGGCACGGUGGUCGUAAGAACUCAGCAUCUGUGGCAUGCCUGCGGGUAGCCGCGUCUACCUCCUGACUACGGUGAACUCACCCUAAGGUGACCCUCCAGCGAGUCACAGCCUUGGAUAAUCCCUCCCCUUUGAGUGGCAGUGGAAACUGUGACUUUCUCUGCGCCGAUAGAAUAAUGCGAAUGUGAGGCGAUAGUCACUCCCUUGAUUACGUCACAUGAAAGACAUUCUCCUGGUGCCUUGAAGAAGCAGGUGCUGUACUGUGAGUGGGCCGCAGAGCAAGAAGCUAGAAGGUGGGAGCAGCCCCUGGCCCAAUAGCCAGUGAGAAAGCAGGGACCUCAGCCCCUACAACCACAAGGUGCUGUAUUCUGCCAACAACCAGGUGAUCUUGGACAAGGACCUGGAGGCUCAGAUGAGAUCACAGCCCGGGGCCAACACCUCGAUGAAAGUCUUGAGCGGAGGAGUCCGUUAUGCCAUGCCUAGUCUCCUGACCCGGGGAAAGCAUCAGUUACUAAAUGUAGGUGCUAUAUUUGUGAUAAUUUGUAACACAGCAAUAGAAAUGGGCUAACUAUACUAUUCCUAUGUUUGUUAUUUCACAGCUCUACGCUCACUUGUCAUUUUUCUCCUAUACUGCUAGGCUUCAAAUCCUGCACACUACAUUCCUCAAACUCCCUUAUUAGCCGACUGGCUUUCUUUCUUUCUUUCUUUCUUUCUUUCUUUCUUUCUUUCUUUCUUUUAAAUUAUGUAUUUAUUUGAGAUAAUCAGGGAGAGCGCAUGAGCAGGGGCAGAGA